UACGAAGGGGGCUAGCGUUGCUCGGAAUUACUGGGCGUAAAGCGCACGUAGGCGGUCUUUUAAGUCAGGGGUGAAAUCCUGGAGCUCAACUCCAGAACUGCCUUUGAUACUGAGGAUCUUGAGUUCGGGAGAGGUGAGUGGAACUGCGAGUGUAGAGGUGAAAUUCGUAGAUAUUCGCGAGAACACCAGUGGCGAAGGCGGCUCACUGGCCCGAUACUGACGCUGAGGCACGAAAGCGUGGGGAGCAAACAGG
rnacentral:rRNA from 1 species